rnacentral:lncRNA from 10 species
GAAAGCGCCUCUUCCCCGUCCCUCUCCUACCUCCGCCAGGCAGGAAGAGAGCUUUCUCCUUAGAGCCGUGACUUAGGGGUGCCCAGCCCCAGGCACCUUGAGCCCCAUCCUCCUGCGAUGCCCCCUCGGAGUGUGGCUCUUCGGGCUCCAUCUUAAUGUGCAGUGACUCCUGAGUGUCCCCUGAAGGUACCGCCUCCCCCAGCUUAGAAGGCAUUUCCUGAUGAGGAUGUCCACGAUCUGGAACCUAGAAAGGACAGCCCCAUCAGCACCCAGAUGAGUGGGAGAGACACCCAGGGCCACAUGGCAGUGCGCUCCGGCAGCGUCGGAAACCAACAUGCAAGACGCAGCUUGAAGGACUGUCCUUGCUGCAUUCAUCCAGCUCACCCCAGCAAGGACGGGCGGCAAGAGGAGGAAUAUUCACCAAGCCGCCUCCACAGUGCCGGUGGGCGUGGUGCCCAAGGGCAGCUACCCCUUCUCAGCUCCAGCCUCACACUGACCUCAGCAGUGUAGACUGCUGUCUAUUAGUGUAUGAAGAAACCAAGUGUAGUGGCUUGAAUAGUGUCCUCUAAGAAUCCGUGUCCUCCCUGGACCUCAGAAUGGGACCUUAUUGGGGAAAAGGGUCUUUAUACAGGAGAGGACACAGAGACACAGAGAAGGAAGCAGAGACUGGAGGGAUGCCCACACCAAGGACACCAGGAGCCCCCAAGGAGUUGGAAGAGACGGAGUUUCGCUCUUCUUCCCAUGCUGGAGUGCAAUGGCGCAAUCUCAGCUCACCCCAACCUCCGCCUCCUGGGUUCAAGCGAUUCUCCUGCCUCAGCCUCCUGAUUACCUGGGAUUACAGGCAUGUGCCACCACACCUGGCUAAUUUUGUGUUUUUAGUAGAGAUGGGGUUUCUCCAUGUCGGUCAGGCUGGUCUGGAACUCCUGACCUCAGGUGAUCCGCCCACCUCAGCCUCCUAAAAUGCUGGGAUUACAGGCGUGAGCCACCGCGCCCAGCCUAUAAAAUUGAUUCUUUAAAAAAAAUUAGAACAUUUACCGAUGCUGGACCCACCUUCCCCACCUUCAGGGUCCACUUUCUAGGUGGCCACAGUGCCUGCUUGGCCCCUGUAGCAUUUGAGUUUGCAACUCUGCUUUUGGAGUUAAACAUGUUUUAGGAGUCCUGGGAUUCUGAUUGAUGCUAUUGUCAAUUUGAUGAAAGAAAAAUUACUCCUGGGA